GUCCCCUUCGUCUAGAGGCCUAGGACACCACCCUUUCACGGUGAUUACAGGGGUUCGAAUCCCCUAGGGGACGCCA
rnacentral:tRNA from 58 species